rnacentral:lncRNA from 1 species
AUGAGUGCUUUUCUCCACACGAAAAAGCAGUUGGAUGAAUUGCAUGAGAAAAGUUCUAAAAAUUGAUGGCAGACACUGUGUGGUGGGAACCACUCACUUUGACGUCUUUGACGCUCAUUAUCUUAUGAAAAUUCAUUUUAUACAUGUAAGAAAAAUAUAGACAAAAAGGGGCCUGAAUCGGGACGCUUUCUCCGUGUGUAUGGUAUCAAAGGUCACGUGGGUUGGCCGCCCUGGAUUAUGGCCCUACUAAAGGGUGUGUAGAACGUUCGUUCCUAUUUUCACCAUAGGCUUCAUUUUCAAAUAAACUAACGCACUAACUCACGCACUGACGCACUUACAUUAAACAGCCGUUUUGACGACCAUGUCGAGCUAACCACAAGCGGUCUCGAGAAAAACGACUUCUUCACAUGAAUUACUAGAUGGGUCUUCAGCAAACUUGGUCUGUGGCAUCCUUGUUUAGUUCUCUCUCAACUUUAUUCAAAUGGUCUCAGUUGGGCCAUUUUGGGCCCCGAGAGCAAACAAUAGCAAAAACUUUAAGCGACUUCUUAACAAGAAGCUCUUGAUCUCCAACAAAUUGGUAUGUGGCAUCCUUGUAAGGUCCUCUCUAAAUUUAUCCAAAUCGUUCCGCUUGACACUCAUCAGGGUCACCAAAACUAAAAAAGAAAAUCCUUGUUCCGUAGAAUCAAUGUAACGUUUUGUCUCAAACCUAUUUAAAUGUUUCCGCUUUGGCAUUUUAAGUGGUUACUAGAGCUACAAAUUGAAAAUAAAAGCUUUACGCAAUGUCAUCUCGUGAACCGUAAUACGUUGGAUCUCCAACAAACUUUGUCUGUUUUGUGAAACAUAUCCCUUCUGAUUCCCUCAUACAUGACUUACAAAUGCCAAUGAAAUCAUCUCAAGUCGCUAUUAAAACCUUUAUAAUUGAUUUAAUUGACAGUUGAAUAGGAGUGUCGUCUUUUGCAAAUGUAUAAGUUCUGACAUGCGCAGUAUCGUCGUACUGCGUAACCGGCAAUUUACAGUUUCCACUUAAUCACUUACUUCCUUGUCCAGCUAGAAGAAACUGUCUGAAAUUUAGAGGAGCAGUCAUGGCAAGUGGCAGCAGUAAAACGAAAAUAGGAAAUGAUUGGACAUACAAGAUUUAUUUCGACCCAGAGGCUGACAAACACACGGAGGGUUAUUACAUCGAAGAUGACAAACUUAUUAACAAAUUGACAUCACUCGUAGAUAAAGAUGAAAAAAUAGAAACGGUGUAUGCAUAUAAACAUCCGCUUAGUGAAAAGCAGUGGACUGAUUUUUAUCUACAUCAUAUGUUUAUUAUAUUUGAAACAAAAACUUGGUGGUGGUCAAUUGAAAAGAACACAUCUGGAAUUACAAUCCAAAGAAGCAAACAGAAAGAUGCUGUGCUUGCUAGGUACAGACAAUCGAAGCGAGUGUCUAAGAUAAAGUACGUUGCUGCUGCUGAUGGGAGACUCAGCGUCUUUGAGCUGAUCAAUUGGCUCUACGAAUCUAAUGAGUUGAACAAGGAAUACAGCGUUUACAGCAGUAAUUGUCAGCAUUUCGCAAAGGCUGUGUUUAAUCAUGUCGCACAAGCAGCUGUUUUAGAUACUUAAAUGGUACAAUCUGAUAACGCACGAGGGGGCGACGAUCAGGUUAUACAAAGUUACAUUUUGUAUUUGCAGUCUAAAGCAUACUUAAUCUGAAAAUCCAUUGAAUAAAGUUUAAAAAUAAUUUUGGACUAUAAAGAUAAACAAUAAACUAUUUACGGGACUAUUUAGCAAAUAUGUGUCUUCAGUCAUUACAAUUAUACGCUUAAUUGAUCUUUAAAGCUAAAUUUUACGUGUAUUCAUUACCUCAUUUACUUUACGUUUUGCGUAUUUAACAAAAUCAUACUAGAUUUUUUCGUCAAGUUUUCAUUUAAUGUAUUUUUGUUUUCAAAUUUUCAUUUUAAUUUGACUUUUUGUCGGAUUUAAAUAUUAAGUACAGCAAUUUAAUACCUAUGUUUAUUAGCACAUGAUUACGAAAAACGACAUAACAGAACUACUUUUAUAGAUGACUUAAUCAGUUCGGUCUAUUUUUAACGCCGUUUCGGAGGAAUAAAUAUAUGAUGUGCUUGUUUCAAGUGUAUAUUCAGACAAACAAUUAUCAAAAUCUUACAUUAAAUAAUUUGCAGCAGACAGAGAGCUUCUAGCUUUUAAACAAUUCAUAUAGUUAUUACAUUGUGUUCUAUUAUAAUGUGUUGAUUAUAAUCAUUAUUUUUGCUCUUAAAUAUCAAUGUUUAUCUCAAAAGUCAUAAUCAGCACAACAGAAAUAGAGAAAGUACAAAGGAAUAACAUUCUACGGUUCAAUUAUUACAGUUACUGUGUAUUUAUUAAGGAUGUUUCAAUUCUUGUCAAUGUCGGUUGGCUUAAUCAUUUUUUUUUGAAAACUUAUGAUACUUCCAUAAUUUCGUACGUCUUCUGAAACAAAAUAUAUAUUUGUAAUGUUAUUCUAAUUUCCCUAUUUUAGGAGAUACUUUGCGAGAGGUUAUUAG